rnacentral:lncRNA from 1 species
CAGGCGAGAAAGGGAACAGAUCAGCAUGAAGCCGAUGUGGAAGGAAGCACCUGUGUGCAACACAGCCUUUUCACCCCGCAGCCUUCACCAGGACCUUCUCCACGACUGCAGCAGGAUGUCUAUUCAAGGGGUAUGGAGUACGGGAAGAGUGCAAGCCAAGAGAAGUACGGUCUUAUUGUUUUAACAGCUGACACCUACAAAUGCAGGUUUGUGUGCACAGCAUUGGACUAUUUUCACCAUAUGAGAAGUAUGCAAGCAAUCUCAUUUCAUG